GUGACAGCCGCCGCGGUAAUACGGAGGGUGCAAGCGUUGUUCGGAAUCACUGGGCGUAAAGGGCGCGUAGGCGGUUUGAUAAGUCAGAUGUGAAAGCCCACGGCUUAACCGUGGAAGUGCAUUUGAUACUGUUAGACUUGAGUACCAGAGGGGAAAGUGGAAUUCCCGGUGUAGAGGUGAAAUUCGUAGAUAUCGGGGGGAAUACCGGUGGCGAAGGCGACUUUCUGGCUGGAUACUGACGCUGAGGCGCGAAAGCGUGGGGAGCAAACAGGAUUAGAAACCCUGGUAGUCC
rnacentral:rRNA from 1 species